AGCGCGGGGACGGGAAGGGUCGUUGUCGUGGCUGAGGAGAGACUUGGUUGUCCGUCCGGGCGGGUGGCGCCACAGCUGCCUUCGGAAAGGUCCUCGGCAAGGCGCGUCGCCUGCAACGUCAUUUACGAGGACGAGGUGGUAGCCGCGGCUUUUCUCCGUGAGCGGUUCCCCCCCGCCCGCCCCGGUUCCUUUGCUGUUCCCUUUGUCUUCCUUUCCUGUUCCCCUCCCCCCGCGCUCGCAAGCACCCUGAGCUGAGGUCUGGGUGCGCGGUGUUCGGGAGCGCGGCAGGGCGGGUGCCGUCGUUGCUGCGGGUGCUCGUUCCCUGUUUCCACCUCCCCGACUGCUGCGGCGCCUUCUGGGUUGCUGGUGCUGUCCGUCUCGCCUCGGUUCCUAGCGCCGUGACCGUAAUGAGUUGGUUCUCCGUAGGAGAAAAGCAGGUCUUAAGGAUGCGCUUCGUAAGAGAGAGCGUCAUAGAGGUUUCACGUGCUUUUGUCCAAUACUUGAGCUCCAGGGAGAACGAACGUCCGCUGAUGGUCCACUUCACUAAGUUCUUUGCCGAUUCUGUUAAUGCCUUUGUCUCCUGUCGUGCCUCUGCGUGGACGGCAUUGAAUAGAAAAGCUGCUCUAGGAAUCGAUCAAGCCAAGCUAAAACCUACCGGAGGUCGCUUAUCUGAAGUACUGGCCCGUCUCCUUACCCCCAUCGUCUUGUGUGCCGAAUCCCACUUGUGGAGGGGGCUCUGUAAAUACGUUGUAUUCUGCGCGUAGAGAGUAUUAAUGAGGCGCAAGAUAAUCAAGGUUUCGGCUUGCGUUUGGGUGCCUCACGUCCCAUAACCUUUCACCCCAACUCCGAUGCUUUUCCUAGUCAUGCCGAAGGAGCCGAUUAUGAGGUUAUUUGAAGCAGAAGAUUGUGGUGAUUCUGUAAGUACUGGGAAGCUUUCUGGACGCUCAGCUGUAGCCGUGAUUAGUUCCUCAUUUCCUAGACUCUUUUGCCAUCCCCCCUUUUGGUGUCGAUAG